rnacentral:rRNA from 1 species
GAUGAACGCUGGCGGCGUGCCUAAUACAUGCAAGUCGAGCGAACGGACGAGAAGCUUGCUUCUCUGAUGUUAGCGGCGGACGGGUGAGUAACACGUGGAUAACCUACCUAUAAGACUGGGAUAACUUCGGGAAACCGUAGCUAAUACCGGAUAAUAUUUUGAACCGCAUGGUUCAAAAGUGAAAGACGGUCUUGCUGUCACUUAUAGAUGGAUCCGCGCUGCAUUAGCUAGUUGGUAAGGUAACGGCUUACCAAGGCAACGAUGCAUAGCCGACCUGAGAGGGUGAUCGGCCACACUGGAACUGAGACACGGUCAAGACUCCUACGGGAGGCAGCAGUAGGGAAUCUUACGCAAAGGGCGAAAGCCUGACGGAGCAACGCCGCGUGAGUGAUGAAGGUCUUCGGAUCGUAAAACUCUGUUAUUAGGGAAGAACAGAUGUGUAAGUAACUGUGCACAUCUUGACGGUACCUAAUCAGAAAGCCACGGCUAACUACGUG